GGAGGCGGAGUGGGCCCGGUGGCCCUCCUGGUCUUCAAAACCAGCGUACCCGCUAAUAACGGGUUGGUGAGUUCGACCCUCACACGCCUCCGCCA
rnacentral:tRNA from 1 species